rnacentral:lncRNA from 1 species
CGUUCAUCCUGAUAGGGAUUGUUGUUCUCCAGAUGAACAUAUUAAAAGAACAACAAGCCUUAGGAUAGUGCAAGUGCCCCCUCAGAGGAUCUUGGUGAUCGAGGGAGAAGGUAAGGAAUUAGAUGUAAUUUGUAAUUUAUUAUUUGUACCCCAUCCAUCUGGCUGGGCUUCCCCAGCCACUCUGGGCGGCUUCCAACAAAGAUUAAAAAUACAUUAAAAUGUCACACAUUAAAAACUUUAGAUGUCUUCAAAAUGUCAGGUAGUUGUUUAUCUCUUUGACAUCUGAUGGGAGGGAGUUCCACAGGGUGGGCGCCACUACCGAGAAGGCCCUCUGCCUGGUUCCCUGUAGCUUAGCUUCUCGCAGUGAGGGAACCUCCAGAAGGCCCUUGGAGCUGGACCUCAGUGUCCGGGCUGAACAAUGGGGGUGGAAACGCUCCUUCAGGUCUACUGGGCCGAGCCCGUUUAGGGCUUUAAAGGUCAACACCAACACUUUGAAUUGUGGGAAACAUACUGGGAGCCAAUAUAGGUCUUUCAGGACCGGUGUUAUAUGGUCUCGGCGGCCGCCCCCAGUCACCAGUCUAGCUGGUUCUCUUAAGAUGCUGGGCUGUGUGCUAAGGAGGUGCCCCAGUCACUGUGAGUUCAUUAUCACUCUCUGUGUAGACGGCAUGUGGUCAUCAUUACAGGAACUGUUUUGGGGCAUCAAUGGCGUUUCCAGGGAUGCCAUGAGCACACCUGCUCUUUUUGGGAUUUUGGUUUGGAGUUUUCUGGUUGCGUGCUUCCCCUUGCCCUGAGAAUCCGCGUAUACAAGGGGCCGGGCACCAAAGUGUAGUGACCAUUUUGCUGGUGAAGCAGUGGAUUAUCUCUCCUACUGGCUUUUAAUUUUGAGCAUAAGCUUGUUUUGUCAUAGGACGAAUCAUCGGCAGAGGCGAGAGUCGGGCAUUAAUGCAAUGCAUCAACCACAUGGGGCACAGAGCAGGUCUGCACUAGGUUGCCCUGCCUCUGACGUUGCAUGUUCUACCUCUGACAUCCGCACACUGAGUGUGCACAUCUGUAGGGAUGUAACAGGCGUCUCCAGGCUCUGGAGCCCCAAUCAUUCAGGGUUACAGAUCUGGGGGUGAAUGCCUCCCUCCCUGAUGUAUGUGUAGACAUCAGAGAUGCAUACAUAUAAAAACAUAAUAAAACAUGGAACAUUAAAAAGCUUCUCUGUACCGAGUUGCCUUCAGAUGUCGUCUAAAGGUUGUCUAGUAACUUAUUUCCUUGGCUCCGGGGUUGCUCCACACCCUCCAACAUUUCUCCACUGAAAAUAGGGACAUCCUACGCUGUGGUGUAAACCACUGAGUCUUGGGCUUGCUGAUCAGAAGGUUGGCGGUUCAAAUCCCUGUGAUGGGGUGAGCUCCCGUUGCUCGGUCCCUGCUCCUGCCAACCUAACAGUUCGAAAGCACGUCAAAGUGCAAGCAGAUAAAUAGGUACCACCCUGGCGGGAAGGCAAACAGUGUUUCCGUGCGCUGCUCUGGUUUCGCCAGAAGUGGCUUAGUCAUGCUGGCCACAUGACCCAGAAAAACUGUCUGCGGACAAACGCCGGCUCCCUCGGCCAGUAAAGCGAGAUGAGCACCGCAACCCCAGGGUCGUCUGUGACUGGACCUAACAGUCAGGGGUCCUUUACCUUUUUUUUUUUUAAGGAAAAGCAGGACAUUCCAGGAUUAAAUAGCUCAGUUGGUUAGAGUGUGGUGCUGAUAAUGCCAUGGUUGCAGGUUUGAUUCCCGUAUGGGAAAACUGCAUAUCCCUGCAUUGCAGGGGGUUAGACUAGAUGAUUUCCAGGGUCCCCUCCAACUCUACAAUUCUAUGAAAUUUGAAACCUGGAGGGCUCCUGUAAAUCUGGGACCAUUCUUGGAAAACAGGAACCCCUGGAGGGUCUGCGCCUGUGUCAUUCAACAUGGAAACUCUUAAUUCCCCAACAGAACAAAAUCCAGUUCGCUCUCCAAAUGGCUUACGAAAAUCCAUUCAAGCAAUGACAGGGAUAUACCAUGCCAUAUUAGAAGCAAAAAAACUUGUUUUGAUGAAUUGGAAGAGCCGCAAAAAGAUCCCAUUGAGCACAUGGAUUGACAAUAUGGACAGACUAGUUACAUAUGAACGAAUUGCAUAUUGACGCAAAUUAAGAAUGGAUAAAUAUGAAGAAAUCUGGAAGGAAUACUUAAG